CAAAGGCGACAAUCAGGUCAACAACAGAACGGUGCAGGUGCUCAGCAAAGGACAGUUCACCAAUGAGAAAUGGAUGAAUAUCCAAGUCGGCGAUAUUAUAAAACUGGAGAAUAAUAAUUUUGUAACGGCAGAUCUUCUGUUGCUGUCCAGCAGUGAACCCAACAGCUUGAUC